GACGAACGCUGGCGGCGUGCCUAAUACAUGCAAGUCGAACGCAUUUUCUUUCACCGUAGCUUGCUACACCGAAAGAAAAUGAGUGGCGAACGGGUGAGUAACACGUGGGUAACCUGCCCAUCAGCGGGGGAUAACACUUGGAAACAGGUGCUAAUACCGCAUAAUUCCAUUUACUGCAUGGUAGAUGGAUGAAAGGCGCUUUUGCGUCACUGAUGGAUGGACCCGCGGUGCAUUAGCUAGUUGGUGGGGUAACGGCCUACCAAGGCUGCGAUGCAUAGCCGACCUGAGAGGGUGAUCGGCCACACUGGGACUGAGACACGGCCCAGACUCCUACGGGAGGCAGCAGUAGGGAAUCUUCGGCAAUGGACGCAAGUCUGACCGAGCAACGCCGCGUGAGUGAAGAAGGUUUUCGGAUCGUAAAACUCUGUUGUUAGAAAAGAACAAGGAUGAGAGUGGAAAGUUCAUCCCUUGACGGUAGCUAACCAGAAAGCCACGGCUAACUACGUG
rnacentral:rRNA from 1 species